GACGAACGCUGGCGGCGUGCUUAACACAUGCAAGUCGAACGGAAAGGCCCUGCUUUUGUGGGGUGCUCGAGUGGCGAACGGGUGAGUAACACGUGAGUAACCUGCCCUUGACUUUGGGAUAACUUCAGGAAACUGGGGCUAAUACCGGAUAGGAGCUCCUGCUGCAUGGUGGGGGUUGGAAAGUUUCGGCGGUUGGGGAUGGACUCGCGGCUUAUCAGCUUGUUGGUGGGGUAGUGGCUUACCAAGGCUUUGACGGGUAGCCGGCCUGAGAGGGUGACCGGCCACAUGGGGACUGAGAUACGGCCCAGACGCCUACGGGAGGCAGCAGUGGGGAAUAUUGCACAAUGGGCGGAAGCCUGAGGCAGCAACGCCGCGUGCGGGAUGACGGCCUUCGGGUUGUAAACCGCUUUCGCCUGUGACGAAGCGUGAGUGACGGUAAUGGGUAAAGAAGCACCGGCUAACUACGUG
rnacentral:rRNA from 1 species